UCUCCGUUGGUGAACCAGCGGAGGGAUCAUUACUGAGUUACCGCUCUACAACCCUUUGUGAACAUACCUAACUGUUGCUUCGGCGGGCAGAGGUCCCUCGCGGAUCUCUCCCGGCAACGCCCUCACGGGCGGAGCGCCCGCCGGAGGAUACCAAACUCUAUUUUAACGACGUUUCUUCUGAGUGGCACAAGCAAAUAAUUAAAACUUUUAACAACGGAUCUCUUGGUUCU
rnacentral:misc_RNA from 1 species